rnacentral:rRNA from 1 species
UGCCUACGGGGGGCAGCAGUGAGGAAUAUUGGUCAAUGGGCGCGAGCCUGAACCAGCCAAGUAGCGUGAAGGAUGACUGCCCUACGGGUUGUAAACUUCUUUUAUAAAGGAAUAAAGUGAGGCACGUGUGCCUUUUUGUAUGUACUUUAUGAAUAAGGAUCGGCUAACUCCGUGCCAGCAGCCGCGGUAAUACGGAGGAUGCGAGCGUUAUCCGGAUUUAUUGGGUUUAAAGGGUGCGUAGGCGGACGCUUAAGUCAGCGGUAAAAUUGCGGGGCUCAACCUCGUCGAGCCGUUGAAACUGGGUG